rnacentral:misc_RNA from 1 species
UUACCUCCCUUUAAACGUCGCGCUUGUUGUCUGUUUGCAUGGUAUCUAGGCUGCCUGUUCCAGCUGAUUGCAUUUGCAAUUCCUCACGAAAUGUUUAUGUAAUACUAGUAUUCAAGGCGAGAUUCUGUCGCAGAUCUAUGAGACAUGACCGCAAUAUCAGAUGGAAAAAUCAGCAAGCAGCUCUUAAAGACACGCAGUGGAGAAUUUGACGUUGAAAGCAUACAUUCACUCUUUCUUCGUGAUGCAGGUGUGUGUGACCUCGGCUGCCUGGGUGAGUGUGUUAAUGUGGAGAGACUGGACCUGUCCCACAACCACCUGACAGUACUCCACAAGUUAGCGGGACUUACCCAGCUCAACACCCUCAACCUGUCUGCCAACAGAAUCACUACGCUGGAAGGCCUGCAGUCUUUGGAGAAGCUUCACACUCUCAGUUUGUCAGGGAAUCACAUAGCCAGGUUUGAGUCCUUGGUGUGUCUGACUGGGCUUGAGUAUCUGCAAGAUUUACGUCUUCAAGACAGAAUCAACAAGCUUUCAAACCCAGUGUGUCAGCAUGUGAACUAUCUGGAGGAGGUGCAGAGGAUGUUCCCUAGACUCAAGACACUGGAUGGUGAACGUGUCCAAGGGAAAGGCAGUGAGUUGUACCAACUCUGUCGGCAAAUAGACACUCAACUUCAACAAGAGCCAAUAGCCAGUGCCUCACUCCAAGCACAACGUCCUGCUCCUUGGUUACAGUCUCAGUACUGGGAGAUGGCAGAUGACUUUCAAAACUCUAUGCUAUGUGAUGCUGAGGUGCAACUCACAGACCUCCUGGCUAGCUGCAAAAGACUGUCAGAACAGUCUGAAGGCAAACUUUAUAAUAGUAUGCUUGGGUCUUCAUAGCAUCAACAUAUUUUAGGGAAGAGAAUGCCACACACUUAUGUCAAAAACUGGAGAGAUUUGAAUAGAAGCAAAGACAGUUUUUCAAAAAGACGACAAAUUGACUGAGUGAGUGAGUUAAGUUUUACGCUGCA